UACGGAGGGAGCUAGCGUUGUUCGGAAUUACUGGGCGUAAAGCGCGCGUAGGCGGCUUUGUAAGUUAGAGGUGAAAGCCCGGAGCUCAACUCCGGAACUGCCUUUAAAACUGCAUCGCUUGAGACCGGGAGAGGUGAGUGGAAUUCCCAGUGUAGCGGUGAAAUGCGUAGAUAUUGGGAGGAACACCAGUGGCGAAGGCGGCUCACUGGACCGGUACUGACGCUGAUGCGCGAAAGCGUGGGGAGCAAACGGG
rnacentral:rRNA from 1 species